ACGCUCGACACCUACGGGAGGCAGCAGUGGGAAUAUUGCACAAUGGGGGAAACCCUGAUGCAGCGACGCCGCGUGGAGGAAGAAGGUCUUCGGAUUGUAAACUCCUGUUGUUGGGAAAANGGAUGGUACCCAACAAGGAAGUGACGGCUAACUACGUGCAAGCAGCCGCGGUAAUCUGAGCGGGCUGGCAAGGC
rnacentral:rRNA from 1 species